rnacentral:rRNA from 1 species
AUUGAACGCUGGCGGCAUGCCUUACACAUGCAAGUCGAACGGCAGCACGGUUGCUUGCACCUGGUGUCGAGUGGCGAACGGGUGAGUAAUACAUCGGAACAUGUCCUGUAGUGGGGGAUAGCCCGGCGAAAGCCGGAUUAAUACCGCAUACGAUCUACGGAUGAAAGCGGGGGACCUUCGGGCCUCGCGCUGUAGGGUUGGCCGAUGGCGGAUUAGCUAGUUGGGGGGGUAAAGGCCUACCAAGGCGACGAUCAGUAGCUGGUCUGAGAGGACGACCAGCCACACUGGGACUGAGACACGGCCCAGACUCCUACGGGAGGCAGCAGUGGGGAAUUUUGGACAAUGGGCGAAAGCCUGAUCCAGCAAUGCCGCGUGUGUGAAGAAGGCCUUCGGGUUGUAAAGCCCUUUUGUCCGGAAAGAAAUCCUUGGGCCUAAUACGGUCGGGGGAUGACGGUACCGGAAGAAUAAGCACCGGCUAACUACGUG